rnacentral:tRNA from 1 species
CCUCUGAUAGCUCAGUUGGCAGAGCGGUGGACUGUAGUGUUACUGCGUAGACAUCCAUAGGUCGCUGGUUCGAAUCCGGCUCAGAGGA